GAUGAACGCUGGCGGUGUGCCUAAUACAUGCAAGUCGAGCGAACAGACGAGGAGCUUACUCCUCUGACGUUAGCGGCGGACGGGUGAGUAACACGUGGAUAACCUACCUAUAAGACUGGGAUGACUUCGGGAAACCGGAGCUAAUACCGGAUAACAUGUUGAACCGCAUGGUUCAACAGUGAAAGACGGUCUUGCUGUCACUUAUAGAUGGAUCCGCGUCGCAUUAGCUAGUUGGUAAGGUAACGGCUUACCAAGGCAACGAUGCGUAGCCGACCUGAGAGGGUGAUCGGCCACACUGGAACUGAGACACGGUCCAGACUCCUACGGGAGGCAGCAGUAGGGAAUCUUCCGCAAUGGGCGAAAGCCUGACGGAGCAACGCCGCGUGAGUGAAGAAGGUCUUCGGAUCGUAAAACUCUGUUAUUAGGGAAGAACAAAUGUGUAAGUAACUAUGCACGUCUUGACGGUACCUAAUCAGAAAGCCACGGCUAACUACGUG
rnacentral:rRNA from 1 species